rnacentral:misc_RNA from 1 species
GAAAUGCGAUAAGUAAUGUGAAUUGCAGAAUUCAGUGAAUCAUCGAAUCUUUGAACGCACAUUGCGCCCAUUAGUAUUCUAGUGGGCAUGCCUGUUCGAGCGUCAUUUCAACCCUUAAGCCCUGUUGCUUAGCGUCGAGAGCCUGCGUUACAGCAGCUCUCUAGAUUCAGUGGCGGAGUCAGCUCAACUCUAAGCGUAGUAAUUCUCUCUCGCUUCUGUAGUGGUUCUGUCCCCUGCCGUAAAACCCCCUAUUUUACAAUGGUUGACCUCGGAUCAGGUAGGAAUACCCGCUGAACUUAA